rnacentral:rRNA from 1 species
GAAGGAUCAUUACCGAGAUUGAAGGGUCUUCCCUUUUGGGGACUGACCUCGAACCUCCAUCCUUUGAUGUACGACGAACACGAUUGCUUUGACGGCAUCAAACCCGUCGGCAGUACCCCCAAACUCACUAUUUUGGUGCCGUCUGAGCGAAUUUUGUAAUGAGACAAAACUUUCAACAACGGAUCUCUUGGUUCUGGCAUCGAUGAAGAACGCAGCGAAAUGCGAAAAGUAAUGCGAAUUGCAGAAUUUAGUGAGUCAUCGAAUCUUUGAACGCACAUGGCGCCCUCUGGUAUUCCGGGGGGCAUGCCUGUCCGAGCGUCGUUAUCACGACCACUUGGUGGUUAGCUACGAGCUUCGUGCUCGAUGUUGGGCCGUCUACACAUAUCGUCUUGAGGCGAUUGGUCCCAAAAUGAGGGUGUCGGUGUCGAACGUCCGACUGCAGUAGAUAAUCUUUCAGUCUUGAGGGACGGCAUCGAUGGCAUGGGCGUCCAGGACGCAGCGUACGCCGCAAUGCUACGCCGGUAGGAGUACCCGCCGCACUCCAUCUCUUCGACCUCGGAUCAGGUAGGGAUACCCGCUGAACUUAAGCAUAUCAUAA